GGGGAUGAUUUCCGUAAAGGUGCAUGAGUGGUGUUUGGUUUGUUGCGGAUGGUUGGAUGUCUGCUUGCGCAGCAACUUCCAUGCGGGCUUACCUCUUCAAUUGUGCUACAAGCCUUGUUUGGCUUGCAUCGUUUGGUGGGUUUCUUGUGUUGCUUACCUAAUCGAUGGCAUUGUUUGUCCCUAUAAGUUAGAUUUUGUAACACGUUGCUUGCGGCGUGAUACAAACGAUGAAGCAACCUUUGUUGUUCAACCUGUUGCUGCUCAUGCAUCGAUGGCUUGGCCCAUGAAGUGUUGAUUGGUCCCUUGGAUAUGGAACAUGAUGUGGGCACAAGUUCACCAAAGAUCUUGAAUUUGCCCUUAUCGAGUGAUUUAGCUUCUUUAAAUGACCGUCGUCCGUGUAUCGACAAGUCGGUGUAUG
rnacentral:misc_RNA from 1 species